rnacentral:rRNA from 1 species
UACGAAGGGGGCUAGCGUUGCUCGGAAUUACUGGGCGUAAAGCGCACGUAGGCGGCUCUUUAAGUCGGGGGUGAAAUCCUGGAGCUCAACUCCAGAACUGCCUUCGAUACUGGAGAGCUCGAGUCCGGGAGAGGUGAGUGGAACUGCGAGUGUAGAGGUGAAAUUCGUAGAUAUUCGCAAGAACACCAGUGGCGAAGGCGGCUCACUGGCCCGGUACUGACGCUGAGGUGCGAAAGCGUGGGGAG